CGUCGCCGCGGUAAUACGGAGGGAGCUAGCGUUGUUCGGAAUUACUGGGCGUAAAGCGCGCGUAGGCGGUUACUCAAGUCAGAGGUGAAAGCCCGGGGCUCAACCCCGGAACUGCCUUUGAAACUAGGUGACUAGAAUCUUGGAGAGGUCAGUGGAAUUCCGAGUGUAGAGGUGAAAUUCGUAGAUAUUCGGAAGAACACCAGUGGCGAAGGCGACUGACUGGACAAGUAUUGACGCUGAGGUGCGAAAGCGUGGGGAGCAAACAGGAUUAGAUACCCCUGUAGUCCCUGUCUCUUAUACC
rnacentral:rRNA from 1 species